GGAGUUGGUAUCUCAGUGGUAGAGGGCAUGAUUAUUAUGUAUGAUGUCCUGGGUUCAAAUCCCAGCUGCUCCC